rnacentral:tRNA from 1 species
CAUUGAUAAUUAGUUUAAAAUAAAAUAAAUGAUUUCGACUCAUUAGAUUAUGAAUUCCAUAAUUAUCAC